GAAUAUUCGAAAAUAUGCCAUUGAUAAAGAGGCUUGGUAUCAUUAUGUUGUUGGGUCAAUUGUUACAUGCAACCUUGUGAUCAAUCGAAAAACUGGCUCUACUUAGCAUAUGAAGACGAGCAUUUCGGGACUGGACGAGGCGUGAUGAUGAUUGAAUUCGAAGAAGUAUUUCAGUUAUACAAACAAGACGCCCUCGACAAAAGUAUCAUCAGUGCCUAUUGUUUAAUGAAGAUUAUCGAAUGCAAAAGAGGACAAAUCUAUAACAUUGGGUUCAUUGACCGAAAUUACAAUCAUCAGCAACAUGUCUAAUCGAAUGCCCGCAAGAUAGAGAAUAACUUGAUAAAAGCGUUAAGGUUUUGCUGUACCAAAAGAAUAACUUGGUACUAUUUCCUUACAACUUCAAGGCUUGGAAACGGUUCACCGCCAAGACUCGGGGUGAUUG